rnacentral:tRNA from 1 species
GGCAGGGUAGCUCAAUGGCGGAGCAAGGUCUUCAUAAGGCCGAGGUUGUGGGUUCGACCCCCACCCCUGCUACAA